GACGAACGCUGGCGGCGUGCUUAACACAUGCAAGUCGAACGGAAAGGCCCUGCUUUUGUGGGGUGCUCGAGUGGCGAACGGGUGAGUAACACGUGAGUAACCUGCCCUUGACUUUGGGAUAACUUCAGGAAACUGGGGCUAAUACCGGAUAGGAGCUCCUGCUGCAUGGUGGGGGUUGGAAAGCUUCGGCGGUUGGGGAUGGACUCGCGGCUUAUCAGCUUGUUGGUGGGGUAGUGGCUUACCAAGGCUUUGACGGGUAGCCGGCCUGAGAGGGUGACCGGCCACAUUGGGACUGAGAUACGGCCCAGACUCCUACGGGAGACAGCAGUGGGGAAUAUUGCACAAUGGGCGGAAGCCUGAUGCAGCAACGCCGCGUGCGGGAUGACGGCCUUCGGGUUGUAAACCGCUUUCGCCUGUGACGAAGCGUGAGUGACGGUAAUGGGUAAAGAAGCACCGGCUAACUACGUG
rnacentral:rRNA from 1 species